UUUUUUUUUUAAAAUACAUUGGCAUAGAAUGUUGAAUUAUAAUAUUCAAUCAGGCCCUGUUGUUAAGGAUUUCGAGGGGUCUGGAGCGGGGGUUUUUCGUAGGUUACGUUCAUUUCCCACAUAUGAAUGGGCCUUGAUUAUUUGCCACCAACCAGGUCAGGCCCUGUAAAAAUGACAGGUGUGUGACAAGAUUUCGUGAUGGGAUUUUUUUUACAAGUUUGGUCAGCUUGUGAAUUGUGACUUGUGAGCAUUGCCCUCUACUCUAGUCGAAAGGGUUGUGGUGGGGCAGCCAGGCUUGAGCUGCACACUUUUGACGAAGCCCACUUGAGACUACUAACAGGAUGCCUGAUAUGUAAAAAAAAUCCCAUCACGAAAUCUUG
rnacentral:misc_RNA from 1 species